rnacentral:rRNA from 1 species
CCCUUAGAUGUCCUGGGCCGCACGCGCGCUACACUGAUGCAUUCAACGAGUAUUUCCUUGACCGAGAGGCCUGGGCAAUCUUUUAAACCUGCAUCGUGAUAGGGAUAGAUUAUUGCAAUUAUUAAUCUUGAACGAGGAAUUCCUAGUAAACGCAAAUCAUCAAUUUGCAUUGAUUACGUCCCUGCCCUUUGUACACACCGCCCGUCGCUACUACCGAUUGGACGGUUUAGCGAGGCCCUCGGAUCGGUACCAGGAUUCUUAACCGAGUCACUGGCAACCGAGAAGGCGGUCGAACUUGACCGUCUAGAGGAAGUAAAAGUCGUAACA